GAGGCUUUAGCUUAGUUAAAGCGUCUGUUUUGCAUGCAGAAGAUGUGGGUUAAACUCCCGUAAGUCUUA
rnacentral:tRNA from 1 species